rnacentral:lncRNA from 12 species
CUGGUCUGCUGUUAUAAUGGAACAGAUAAUCUUUCUCAGAAUAGCUGCUCAAAGAGAACUGCUCUCAUUACAAUCAAUUUAUUUUAUGUUAAGAUAAUCUUUCUCAGAAUAGCUGCUCAAAGAGAACCGCUCUCAUUACAAUCAAUUUAUUUUACGUUCUUGGUGUUAUUCCUUUAUCUCAAAUCAACAUAGACUUGUUAAUUCCAUUUUUGUAGGCCCAUGCAAGCUUCUGAAGAAAGACUAAAAGCUAAUCCCAUGUUGCUCUCUGUCAUAGGCAAGACUGUCUGUGUCAUAGAAUCAUGGAACCAUAGAACACCCUGAGUUGGAAGGGACCCACAAGGAUCAUCAAGUCCAACUGCUGGCCCUGCACAGGAUGGCCCCAAGAGUCACACCCGGUGCCUGAGAGCAUUGUCCAAAACACUUAUUGAACUCUGUUAGGCUGGUGCUGUGACCACUUCCCCUACAUCUCCUUGAGCAUUUCAUUUACUCAGGAAAAUGAGACCUACAGCCAACAAGACUUCUGGUGCUCCUUCCUACAGCAGAUGGUCCAGUUCACAGCCCCAUCAGUCCAGCUCCACAGUGAGAACGUACCAAAACAGUAAAUCAAGAGUGACCAUGAGCCCUGGCUUUAGCUCCCAGUGGAAUAGCAGCCAACCUGCUUGGAAUACAUACACCUUCCCAAGAGCAAGCUUGCACUACCAGUCUCAUGCUAGCUACACCUACUGUGCUGGACAUCCUGCUGUAAGUAAUGAACACCUUUUCUGCAGUUACCUGAAUGAGCUCUGUGGUUCCC